rnacentral:rRNA from 1 species
UACGAAGGGGGCUAGCGUUGCUCGGAAUUACUGGGCGUAAAGAGCUCGUAGGCGGCUUGUCGCGUCGGCUGUGAAAUCCCGUGGCUUAACUGCGGGUCUGCAGCCGAUACGGGCAGGCUAGAGUUCGGUAGGGGAGACUGGAAUUCCUGGUGUAGCGGUGAAAUGCGCAGAUAUCAGGAGGAACACCGGUGGCGAAGGCGGGUCUCUGGGCCGAUACUGACGCUGAGGAGCGAAAGCGUGGGGAGCGAACAGG